UACGUAGGUGGCAAGCGUUGUCCGGAGUUAUUGGGCGUAAAGCGCGCGCAGGCGGUGCGGUAAGUCUCUGGUGAAAGCGCUCGGCUUAACUGGGCGAGGGCCGGGGAGACUGCCACGCUGGAGGGGAGCAGAGGCGAGUGGAAUUCCGGGUGUAGCGGUGAAAUGCAUAGAUAUGACAUAGAACACCAAUUGCGAAGGCAGCUCACUAAGCAGAUAUUAACGCUGAGGCACGAAAGCGUGGGGAUCGAACAGG
rnacentral:rRNA from 1 species